CGCACAAAUCGAGAAAUGGU
rnacentral:misc_RNA from 1 species